AAGUCGUAACAAGGUUUCCGUAGGUGAACCUGCGGAAGGAUCAUUAACACGUAUCCACGUAUCUACCUCUUGCGAACUUGUUUUGUUUUAUAGUCGUGCUCAGGUAUUUUAUCAAGGAAGUAGAUGGCCAUGUCAGGAGAAAAAUUCAUUUUUUUUUCUUGUUCUACUUGCCUUCCACCCAAUGUUUUGAGUGCUGGUGUAUUGAGAUCCUGUGAUGCCUUUGUGGCGUCCACAGUUUCCUACUAGCAGAACGCUCCUUGGGAUGGGUAUCUGGCGUGACUCGAAUCAUGGUGGUUAUUCACUAUUAACCCCUUUUUUUUUAAAAAAUUUUUGUCUCAGUGUGAGUGGGUGGUGCUCUUGUGGCGCCCUCCUCAUCAAAAAAAAAUAACAAAGAUACAACUCUUAGCAACGGAUAUCUAGGUUCU
rnacentral:misc_RNA from 1 species